rnacentral:lncRNA from 1 species
ACAGAAAACAAGUGUUACAGAUGCUCCAAACACUGGAUGAUGGUUCAAGUUCCAGCUCUGAAACCUCAGCCCAUGUUGCAUGACAGGACUUCCAUACUAGGACUUUCAAGUGAACAGCACCAGCAACUUGGCAUUUGCUGGGUGCAUUUCAAAUAAAAAAUACACGAGUGGUACUACUAUAGCCAUUUAUCUACAGCCAUCCACUCAAAGACUACUAAGUGCUCCUAAAGCAAUAAUCUAGUUCUCACUUCUACCCUUCUGUAGUGCAGCAGACCUCUCCAGUUCUCUCCAGACUGCUCCUUGGUCCCACUUGAAUUUCUGUGCUGAGGGCAUAGUGCAUGCAGGAAGUGAAAAGUGUAAAAAAAUCCAACAAUACAUUAAUUUAUUUUAUUUUUCUCAGCACCACUGCAUGGAGUUUUAAAACCGGAGUAAGAGUGCAGUGACACUACAGCAAGCCAAGAAGAAAUAUUUCUGUCACUACCAUCCCCCAUCUUAUUUACCCCUAAAUAAAGAUUCAUCAGCAGUUGUUACAAGUCCCUAUUGCUGGAGACCAGUGAAGGCAUGGACAUAGGAUGGAGCCCGUUGCUCAGCGCUGAAUUGGUAUUUGUUUUGAGGCUUGAAUCAGCAACAAGUUACCAUCACACCACACGUGGAUCAUGCUGUCAUCUUCAGAUGGGGGAGUUCACCUGGAAUGCCCCCCUGCUCUGGGGAAAGCAGCCAGGUGUGUGCUGUGUCCUGCUGCACUUGCCCUGCAGGCAGUGCCUGCUUCCUGCCUCUCCUCGUUUUUAUUCUUCCAAAGCUCAGACUGGUUUUGUGUUAGGCCACUGAGUGACAUCAGAGUCCGUGUGAACAGCUUGGUGAGAACAAAGAAGUGAUAAAAGAACUUGUGGAAAACCUAAGGUUUGCCACUUUCAACAGGCAGCUAAUGAGACCCAAAGUUUGCAAGAACAUGGAACAAGUGUUCCCUUCACUCUUCCAGCUUCUUUUCCAGCAUACCAUGAUGACAAGUGUCUGUUUUCACAGUAACUUUUGAAGGCUAUGCUGUUCCAUGCUUAAUGCUUAUUUCAAAGUAAGAAAUUAUUCUGUCUAAUUAGACUGAUACAUGUAAUUUUUUUCAUUCCUUUCUUACUCUUUCCUUAGUAUAGCUGGACAGACAUAUCACAAAUAUGUGAUUUACAUCUGCGGUCUAGUAUGAUAUUUUUACCUGUCAGAAAUUAUUUUCUUUAAAAUUCCAUCUUGCUGAAUUUUUCUGGAGUGUCUUUUUACAUCUCUUUUAGGUGUCAAAUUGAGAUAUGCUGAAUAGGACAGAUUUAUAGAGGCACAACUGUCUCAUUCCUAGGGAAAAAGACAGGUUCCUUUGAGAAGCUUUUGUUUUGGAAGCAAAAUUCAGUUUUCUAUUGGAGGCAGCCUGGGCUUAUGUUGUCAGAAUGCAAAACUUCCUACAGUUGAUUAGGCUAGGGAAAACUGUACAAGGAGUUUCAAAGUUAAAAAAAAAAAAAAAGUAGUACUUUAUUACCUCUUAAUUUGUAAACUUAUUAUAACAGGAAAUAAUUUCUUUUCACAUAGGACACUGUACUCUGUCACAAUUCUGUAAAAAAUUUCAGUGCUGCCUGAGCAUCACUGAGGGCUUGGUGGAGCAGGG